GAUGAGCGCUAGCGGCAGGCCUAACACAUGCAAGUCGAGGGGUAGCAGGAUUAAGCUUGCUUAAUUGCUGACGACCGGCGCACGGGUGCGUAACGCGUAUGCAACCUACCUUAUACUGGGGUAUAGCCCGGAGAAAUUCGGAUUAAUCCCUCAUAGUACUAAUGAAUCGCAUGGUUUAUUAGUUAAAGCAUUGCGGUAUAAGAUGGGCAUGCGUCCUAUUAGCUAGAUGGUGAGGUAACGGCUCACCAUGGCUACGAUAGGUAGGGGGCCUGAGAGGGUGGUCCCCCACACUGGUACUGAGACACGGACCAGACUGCUACGGGAGGCAGCAGUGAGGAAUAUUGGUCAAUGGGCGCAAGCCUGAACCAGCCAUGCCGCGUGCAGGAAGAAUGCCCUAUGGGUUGUAAACUGCUUUUAUUUGGGAAUAAACCUCUUUACGUGUAGAGAGCUGAAGGUACCAAAUGAAUAAGCACCGGCUAACUCCGUGCCAGCCGCCGCAGUAA
rnacentral:rRNA from 1 species